GUCUAUGGCCAUGCCAUCCUGAACAUGCCCGAUCCCAUCUGAUAUUGGAAGCUAAGCAGGGUCAAACCUAAUUAAUACUUGGAUGGGAGAAUCACCUAGGAAUACCAGGUGCUGUAGGUG
rnacentral:rRNA from 1 species